rnacentral:rRNA from 1 species
UACGUAGGGUGCGAGCGUUAAUCGGAAUUACUGGGCGUAAAGCGUGCGCAGGCGGUUUUGCAAGCCGGAUGUGAAAUCCCCGGGCUUAACCUGGGAAUGGCAUUUGGGACUGCAAGGCUGGAGUGCGGCAGAGGAGACUGGAAUUCCAGGUGUAGCGGUGAAAUGCGUAGAUAUCUGGAGGAACACCGGUGGCGAAGGCGGCAUCCUGGACCAACACUGACACUGAGGAGCGAAAGCCAGGGGAGCAAACGGG